rnacentral:rRNA from 1 species
UGGGGAAUAUUGCACAAUGGGCGCAAGCCUGAUGCAGCCAUGCCGCGUGUAUGAAGAAGGCCUUCGGGUUGUAAAGUACUUUCAGCGAGGAGGAAGGCGUUGUGGUUAAUAACCGCAGCGAUUGACGUUACUCGCAGAAGAAGCACCGGCUAACUCCGUGCCAGCAGCCGCGGUAAUACGGAGGGUGCAAGCGUUAAUCGGAAUUACUGGGCGUAAAGCGCACGCAGGCGGUCUGUCAAGUCGGAUGUGAAAUCCCCGGGCUCAGCCUGGGAACUGCAUCCGAAACUGGCAGGCUAGAGUCUUGUAGAGGGGGGUAGAAUUCCAGGUGUAGCGGUGAAAUGCGUAGAGAUCUGGAGGAAUACCGGUGGCGAAGGCGGCCCCCUGGACAAAGACUGACGCUCAGGUGCGAAAGCGUGGGGAGCAAACA